AUCUAUUUUCAGAAGAGUAUUGCCAUCCAAUUUAAGAGAGGAUAAGUCAGUGAUGCCUGUCACAGAUAGGACAAGAAGCAAUCCUGAAUCUCAGGAACCUGAACAAGAACCUUCUAACAAUACACAAGGGAAGUUAUGGACAAAUGGUGGAUUGCUAGGAUUAGAUCCAUUAAAACCUCCAGAUUUCAGUGUAUUAAAUGCCAUCCAUCAAGAUCCUGCAUCCAGCAAAGAUGGAAGCAUCUGUACUUUCAGGGCUAGAGCUGCAAAGAAAUCUGAUGAAAUCGAGAACUCCAGAAAUAUGGGAAAUGAUUUCGAUAUGGAUAGCUCUAUAUCACAUCAAAAUUACCAGGAAGGUGGCACCUCAUUUGGGAAGACGUCUUGGAAAAUUUCGACUACCAAUUUAGAUGUCAAGCUUGAAAAGUCCAGUAAUUCACUUCAUCGAAAUUAUGUCGGUAGUACUGCGAACAAUGGAUCUACUGACUCUGGUGUAGGACCAUCUAGAAGUUCUCAGCCUGUCAGCUCAGAUAUUCGAUUUACCAGAGAUCAUAGGGAGAAUUGCAGAAGUUCUAGGAUGUUUGAACUGGGCAAUCUAUUGUUUACAAAUGAAUCUUAUAGAAAGCUAUUGGUUGGCAGAGAUGACCACUCUGGUUCUUCCGGCUACCUAAAUACAGGUGUUAUCGAACAGAACAAUUGUCAAAAUAUUGCAGAUCAAUCAUUCUCUGGAAGAUCUAGAGAUUUGUUUGGAGGUGGAUCUCGAUUAAUGUCGUUCUCUUCCUCACCGCCACUUGAACACAUGAAAGUAUCGUUCCGGCCUACAGAUGGCUGUGAGACUACCAAGAUGAACUUAAAAUUCGCUGAUGGCAAUAAUAAUCUUGGAAGCGAUGGAAAUAUUUUUCCUUCAUUUCAAUUGGUCCCAGGGAUGUCAACUACUCAGCAUAACGUUGGUUCGGACUCAGAUGACACAUUCUAUAGAUCAUCACCUUCUGUAUCAGAUGAUAGUCUUAGCCAUCGGUCUAAUUCAAAUUCUGAGCAAUGUGAGUCCGGAGAAUCUCCCAGUAGCAAGGAGCACGAUUUAUAUGACGUUUUACGCAGAAUCUCGUCGAUGGAAUCUACUUCAACAAUAAGGGAAAAUGGGAGGUCGAGACACGGAGAGAUCUAUGAGAACCCUUGUCGUCAACUUCCAUUUGUUAAAAGCGUUGUGGACAAACAUUCUCAAUCUUGUGGUUUGUUUGAUAUUCCAAAGUUUAAUAUCCAAAAUCACUCGCUCAGGGAAGAACUGCAAAACGAUUCGUCAACAAUGGAUCCUGUGGAGACACAAUUUUCACCUACCCCUCCACCUCUCCCUCCUGCACAAUGGCGGACUAUGAAGUCACGUCUGGAUGAUACAGAAAAUGGGCAUGCUGUGAUAUCUGGCGGCCUUAACUAUGCAUCUGGUCUUACACGUUCAACAUCUACAAUAUCUCAUCAACCUAAGCAGUUCACAGAUAGGACAAGAAGCAAUCCUGAAUCUCAGGAACCUGAACAAGAACCUUCUAACAAUACACAAGGGAAGUUAUGGACAAAUGGUGGAUUGCUAGGAUUAGAUCCAUUAAAACCUCCAGAUUUCAGUGUAUUAAAUGCCAUCCAUCAAGAUCCUGCAUCCAGCAACGAUGGAAGUAUCUGUACUUUCAGGGCUAGAGCUGCAAAGAAAUCUGAUGAAAUCGAGAACUCCAGAAAUAUGGGAAAUGAUUUCGAUAUGGAUAGCUCUAUAUCACAUCAAAAUUACCAGGAAGGUGGCACCUCAUUUGGGAAGACGUCUUGGAAAAUUUCGACUACCAAUUUAGAUGUCAAGCUUGAAAAGUCCA
rnacentral:lncRNA from 1 species